GUUUAAUUAAGAACAGGAUUGUUUGUGUUGAGUUUGUUGUGUUGAAAGUCAGAGAGCCGUGUCUCUCUACAGUCAGAGGUUUUUGUACGACGACUCAACCAGUUUGUAUCACUGUGGUACACGUUCGGUGGAGGAACCAGACUGGAGCUUGGAAGUGAUGCUCGUCCCACCCUGACGGUGCUGCCCCCCUCCACAGAGGAGCUGCAGCAGGGGAAGGCCACACUCAUGUGUCUGGCCAACAAGGGCUUCCCCUCAGACUGGAGUCUGUCCUGGAAGGUGGACGGCAGCAGCAG